UACGGAGGAUCCAAGCGUUAUCCGGAUUUAUUGGGUUAAAGGGUGCGUAGGUGGUUUUUAAGUCAGGGGUGAAAGACGGCAGCUUAACUGUCGCAGUGCCUUUGAUACUGAAGAACUUUGAAUCCACUAGAGGUAGGGCGGGAAUGUGACAAGUAGCGGGUGAAAAUGCAUAGAUAUGUCACAGAACACCAAUUGCGAAGGCAGCUUCUAUGGUGGUAUUACUGAGGCACGAAAAGCGUGGGGGAUCAAAA
rnacentral:rRNA from 1 species